UAUUAGAUAACUUAAUAAAAGUAUUGAUCUCUUAAAUCAAAUUUAGUAUAAAACUUCUAAUAA
rnacentral:tRNA from 1 species